rnacentral:lncRNA from 1 species
AGCUGUGCUUCUUGCCAGUGCAUGGAUGGAAUACCCAGUACUCCCUUGGUCUCGGUGCAUAGGACAUGCGCGUAGUUCUAGGGUGAAUUUGACUAACUAAAAAUGUGAUAUAUCUCAUCAAAAGCAGAUCAUUGGAUACAUAUAUGAAUGUAGUUUCUAAAUAUUUUUUUGUUAAAUAUAAUACAUAUUAGCUAGUUAAAUUGAUGACCUAGAACUACGCACUUGCCCUUGCACCGGGACAGAGGGAGUACAUAUCUUUGUUUAUGUGUGCAUGAUGCUGUAGUAGUGCCUCUAGCUGCUAUUCAUGUGCUGAAUUAUGUAUGCGCUGGUUGGUUCGGAUCGGGGCUAGUUAUUGAUUGAGGUGACCGAAUGCUACGGGCUAAUGUUAUCUUCAAUGUAAAUAUACACCGCAUUUCUGACACUUUCAUUUUUGCUUUGGUUGUGACUUGUCAUCAGAUACGAUUACUUUGUAUGUCUAAACUUCAAACGUCAUCAUGCAUUGUAUUAGAACUAACCUCUGAAUUCCUGAAACUGACUUUGGAAUCACACAUAUUAUUAGUUCAUUACAUUCAGA